UUUUAACAUAGAUAGAGUAUGUAUUUAAAAACAUUCUUCCGUGAUGAUUACUUCCAAAUUUUUCAAAUUAAAACUAUUACAGGGAACCUAAAAAAUGGAUUAUCUUCAAGGUCAUGGAAGAGUACUCAAAUGUCCUCCUCUAUCACUUUCUUUCUGUCCGUCAAGGCCUCAAUAUGUUGUUCUCCACUUCCUUUUUGCGUAUAAGUUGUGUUUCUCCAUGUUUAUGUUUAUCAUUAUGAUUAUUGAUGGUAAGGCCUAGCUCUCUCUGCAUUCAGUUUCUUACAUCAAUUGGUGUGCUUGCUUUUGUGCUUUUAAUUUAUUUCACCGCUUUUUCUUUAUAACUAAUGGACUUUUUGUGUCAUUUAAUAGUGAUAUGAUAUUAAUGUAUUUUUUUUCUUUUAAUUGGGGCAAGUAAAAUUUAUUGACCAACUUUUCUGGACAUCAUUUGCAUUUCAUAUAUUUGUCAGCAUUAGCUUACCGAAGAAAACAUAAGGCUUAGCAUUUUUUCGAUUUUUUUGUUAAUUGUUAAGUGGUUAAAUCUUAAGGAUAGGAAGAUCCUAUACUGCUUUGAUAAAAGGUUAUAUUUCCGAUGCAUCUUUAGAUUGUAGUAACAGUAACUUGGCCUUUACUUCGUGCCCUCUUCUAUAAAGGCUUGGGUAUAAUACUCUGGAGUAUUUUGUUUGCGGAGAUUGCACGCAUCUCUUUAUGUCAUGAUACCUUUCAAUUCUUGCUAUGGAACUUUUAUCAGUUAAUGUUUUCUAUCUCAACAUGUUUGACUUCUAAUUCUCCAUUGGAACAGGACAAGAAGUUGUUUGAAGAAUACACAGUAGCAGAUGUUUUCAGCAAUACACAGUAUUUGCAAUACUCUAUAUGGCUCUUAGUUUGUUUAUAGUGCAAACACUGAUAGCAACUUAUACAUUUGGUUGAUCACGUGAAAUAGGAUGGUGGGUAGAAAAUGAUGAUCAAAUAAGUCGUAUGCUUGAUUUUGAUUUUGUAUGUAUAUUUAAAGGAAGUGGAAGAAAAGGAAAUUCUUGCUCAGUUUUGAUAAGUCUAGGGAGGCAAUAUAUAUUCUAUGUUUGUCACUAUUUUCUAAGGUUGGAGCUGUGUUUCUGGUGGUUGUGAACUUAUGCCAAUUCUAAACCUUUAUAGUUUUGUAGGGUCGCUAUGUGAAUGCAGUAUUAGAC
rnacentral:lncRNA from 1 species